rnacentral:rRNA from 1 species
GAAAUUGAUCCUCCAGUACAAAAGCUGGAAUAAACCCAUAAGACGAGAAGACCCUGUGGAGCUUUAAAACCAAAACCACUAAACAUGCUUCUUGGAUUUUUAGUUGGGGCGACUUUGGAGCAAAAAAAACCCUCCAAAACAUAAACUCAAUUAUCUAGACUAACACACCAAAAAUUUUUACUAGACCCAGCAGUGUUUUACGCUGUCUGACAAAUGAACCAAGUUACCCCAGGGAUAACAGCGCCAUCCUCUUCUAGAGUCCCUAUCGACAAGAGGGUUUACGACCUCGAUGUUGGAUCAAGACACCCCUAUAGUGCAACCGCUAUAAAAGGUUCGUUUGUUCAACGAUUAAAGUCCUACGUGAUCUGAGUUCAGACCGGA